rnacentral:lncRNA from 1 species
AAGUAACCAAUGGAAAUUUCAGAGGAAAUUUAAACCCCAGAAAAUUCUGUAACUGGGCUCUUGAGCCACUUGCUGGGGCCUGCUGCCGCCCUGUGGAGUGUGCUUUCGUUUUCAAUAAAUCUCUGCUUUCGUUCCUUCAUGCUUUCCUUGCUUUGUGUGUUCAUUUUGUCCAAAUCUUUGUUCAAGACGCCAAGAACCUGGACACCCUCCACCGGUAACAUAUUUUGGCGAGCCAGACAAGAGUAGUAUGAUGCCUCUGGCUUCCCUCUAUCACACGUCUUCUUUUCGAGUAAAGGUUUUUCAUAAAUGUGAGCGUGGAAGAAGAAACCAGAUGGUGUCAGAAGCGGAUCCGAAGUGGAACUUUUAGUGACCCUCAGGAGCACUGAAUGAACAUGCAAGGAACCUGCAGGACCCACUUGUGUCCAUUGAUCUCUGGGAGCAGCUGGGAUAAGCUCCUUUUCGGAUUUCAGAGCUCCAUGGACUUGUGUCUUGAGAUCCCUGAGUUUCUUUGAGCAAAUUUCUGAUCCAAAAUGGGUUUGGCAUCAUGGCAGAAACAGGACUGGGUCCACGAAUGGAUUUGAUCCAGGAAUGAACUGGCUUGGAUCCAGUCAGAGGUCUCUUACAUCUGACUGGGUCAGAAAGGAACUGGUAGUAAGCAGUAAUAUUGCAGAGGAUGGUGUGGCAAGCUGAGUCACUAAGGCUGCUCAGGGAAAGGGAACCCAGAAUCUUGGCAUGCCGGCAAAAGGCCCAUGGUUCACUGAGGACAACUCCUUUGCAAUCUAGAACCCAAAGAUUGGAUCUUCUGAGAACAUCAGAGAAAGACUGUCCUUGCCAUCCACACUACAGCAAAGCUUUGGAGCCUUGAACCUUGGGUUCAUGAUCUUACAACUGAGAAGGGCCCCUCCACACUCCUGAACUGUACAACCAUUGAAACUCUUAAGGUAAAAUUAACUAGGAAAGUUUAUCUCCUUAAGAAGAUGGCAUCCUUGAUGUGAACAGCUUUUCCCAAGAUCCUGGAUCAAAACGUCUACUAUCACGAGACUCUUAUAUUUGAAUAUAUUUUCCGGUUUAUGCCUUUAGGAACAAUUGAAAUGAAAGGGGGAUCUAUUAUGUGCACUUAUAGGGUAUACUUUUAUUUGUGAAGGAUUUUGCAUCCAGCCUUAUAUGAAUAACCUUGUACUUUAAUAGAUAAAAGAUGAAGGCUCAAUGUAGGUGAGAAAAUGUAGUGGUACAUAUGUUGCCUCAUAAUCAGUCAAAACUCUUCUUAACCCACAUAAUGGAUUAAAGAGAAUAUUGCCAGGAGGCCUUCGCUUUUCUAAAAUGACAUCAUUUGUUAGGUCCUUUUUCCAUAGUUUAGUAUAAAAGAGGCAAUAAUUAGAAAUGUCACCCUCAUAAUAGGCUCUACAGCAAAUUCUACUUUAAAGGCUAUUGUUACACAACAGACUUUAAAUUAUCUUGUAAAAGUUAUGCUAAAUAAUAGAAUUGGCCAAACAGAAAAGUACCUGUGCAGUUGCUGACACCUGUGGCCUAUGGAGAAAUACAUCAAAUGUAGAUUAUACAAUUUCAGUUGUAGGGGAUUAAUGAAAAGACCACCUAGUCAAGCAAGUAGGCUCUUCAUAUAGCUCAUUCUUUAAUCUAUUUAAUUUUACAUGGUUUGGUUUAUGGGGACCCUGGGUAAGGAGCACACUCCAAAUUUGUUAUUAUUCUCCCAGUACUCAUAAUGAUAGUCUCCCUGAUGUGCUAUAUUCUCUUAAAGGUUUUAAAUGUUUGCAUGCAGCCAUCUCUAGAACAUCAAAUGGUCUCUAUUCAACCAGAAUGACAAAAGCUGAAAGAAAUGUGUGACCCUGAGGAUAUCGUAACCUACGAAUGAUGUGCUGAGACUGGAAACCCUAAAUGAUGUUACUGAGAAUGGCACUAAGGCCUUAAGUUUUGGUCACACUGUCACCUAAGUGAGAACCUGGCUGAAAAGGGAGAAUUUUUAAACAACAAAAUUAGAGGAAGCCACUAUUUUGGACUGAGCUCAUGCACUAGGCCCCAACAAACGAAACCAAGCUAAAAUGGAGUCACUCAUCCUAAAUGUGACAUAAUCAAACCAAGGCUUUAAGAACACAGAUAGAUGCUAGAACAGACUACAUUUUGUUUUUCUCCUGUAAACAGGAUGUCUAUCAUAAGGAGGUACCGUCUACUCAGUCCUUAUUCUCUCCUUGCAAAACCCACUUUUCUACUGUUUCCCAGUGGGUUUCAAACCAUAUAAUACAUUUAUGAUAGUGAUAUUAACAUCAAUGACUAAGGUUUUGGUCAAUCUCUCAAAAUUGAGAAAAUGACCAAAAGAGGGAAAUGAUUGCUAAAGCAAACUAAAUAUGGCCUGGGAAGAACUCCAUAGUCUUAUAUUUGAGUUCUUGCAGAUGAACUGUAACUUAGCUUAAUAGUCAGACAAAACUGAAAACCUAACUUAAUAGUAUGCGUCUGUAACAAUGGCUGAGUGUUCGCUAAUCCCAGCGGCCAUACUUCAACCACUCAUAGACUGCUGAAAGUUCAAAGUGCAUUCAAAUAAGGCAAAAACGGAGCUUAACCAGCCUCACUGUUUCUGUAUCUCACUUCCGAUUCCUGUAUGUCACUUUACCUUUUUUGUCUAUAAAUGUGUUCUGACCACGAGGCACCCCAGGUCUCUGUGAAUCUGUUGUAAUUCUGGAGGUGCCUGAUUCGCCAAUCAUUCAUUGCUCAAUUAAACUCCUUUAAAUUUAACUCAGCUGGACUUUUCCUUUUAUCAGGUUGAAUUUUACAUAUCUACUUUAGAUUUUAAUUUCUUCUAUAAAUUAAAAUCUAAUCUUCCAUAAUUUCUGAUAAAAUGUUUGUUAAAUGAACUCAAUGCAUUGGACAAAAAUUUCCUGUUGCUUUUCUUUCAAAGUACAUAAAUUGAUGCUACUUUUUCCACCUUUCUCACAUUUUCUCUGUCCCAAUCUUACACUGGAGGUUCAAUAGUCUUCUUCAUGCCUCAAGUUCUUUCUCUUGUAAUAUGAAAGGCAUGUGGCCACUUUCCUUUUCUAAUUCUUUCAUAAAUCUAAACAUUUUCACUACCUAUUGGUUACUAUGCUCACCAUCUGGGUGAAGGCAUCAUUUGUACACAAAAUCUAUAAAAUAUACUAUUUACUUAUGUAAAAAACCUAAACAUGUACCUGCUGAACCUAAAAUAAAAGUUGAAAAAGAAAAAUAAAUAAAUAAUACCUUCCCAGAAUAUUGCCUAUAGGAACAAGUCUAAAUUCCUUAAUACAGAGUAAAAUGGUAAUAAAAUUCUUGCCCUGAUUUUCUUUCUUAGGCCUAUGUCAUUUCAACACUCCCCAUCACCAUUCUUCCCCAAUCUCUUCCAUUUUUUGAGUCUAAAAUCCUUAAUACAUUGAAUUUUUGUUCAAUAUUUGUUAUAUGCCCAAAACUAUGCUAAGCUGCUGGACUCGUGCUCUUUCACAAUUCCUUUUCUGUUCCUUUCAGACUAGUGAAAUGAUACUGAUUUUUAAUGAUCUGUCUUUUCUUGGAAAUUUCCUAUUUCCAAAUGUCAAAAAAAGAACUUAUAAUUUUUGUCUCUCCAUUUCCAUAACACUUAUCAAUGUCACUGACAUAGCCCUAAUAAUUAUGAGAUGUACAUUGUUAGUUACACACAUUUCUUGUUUUCCUACUUUUGAUGUCUUUAAGGUCAGAGAUUGUAUUUUACUCGUUUGUAUUCCUAUCAGAAAAAAAACUGUGGCUUACAUGUAAUAUACAUUCAGUAAUUGUUUGAAUGAAAAAUGUAUUAAAAUAGUAUGAGUAUCCAAGUUGGUGAUUCAAUUUAGUUAAUCUCUUCUGAUACCCCUACCCCAAAAAGGCAUAUGUAAAAGUGCAUAAAAUUGUGUGUAUGAAUAUGUAGAUCAAUAGAUAGAAGCAUCUGUGAACACAAAUAAGAAAUUUAGGAAAUGAUUAUCUUAGAAACUCUUUAGCAUCAAAUCUUAUUUAUUUAUUUAUUUAUUUGCUAUAGCUUUUGGGGAAAAGUUGGAUUUUUGUUACAUGGAUAAGUUCUCUUGUAGUAAUUCCUGAGAUUUUGGUGCACACUGUACCCAAUCUGUAUUCUUUAUUCCUCACCCCUCUCCCCGCAUUCCCCUUGAGUCUCUGAAGUCCCUUAUAUCAUUCUUACGCCUUUGCAGCCUCAUAACUUAGCUCCCACUUAUAAGUGAGAUCAUACAAAAUUUGGUUUUCCAUUCCUGAGUUACUUCACUUAGAAUAACUGUUUCCAGCUCCAUCCAGGUUGCUGAAAAUGCCAUUAUUUCAUUCAUUUUUAUGGCUGAGUAGUAUUCCAUGGUGUAUAUAUGCCACCUUUUCUUUAUUUACUCUUUGGCCAGUGGACAUUUAGGCUGAUUUCAUAUUUUUGCAAUUGUGAAUUUUGCUACUAUACACAUGUAUGUGCAAGUGUAUUUUUCAUACAAUGACUUCUUUUCCUCUGGGUAGAGACCCAGUAGUGCGAUUGCUGGAUGAAAUGCUAGUUCUACUUCUAGUUAUUUAAGGAAUCUCCAUACUGUUUUCCAUAUGGGUGGUACUAGUUUACAUUCCCAACAGCAGUAUAAAAGUGUUCCCUUUUCACCAUAUUCACGCUAAUAUUUAUUAUUUUUUAUUUUUAAUUAUGGUCAUUCUUGGAUCUCAUUGUAUUUUCAAUUUGCAUUUCCCUGGUAAUUAGAGAUGUUGAGCAUAUUUUCAUGUUUGUUGGCCAUUUGGAUAACUUUUUCUGAGAAUUGUCUGUUCAUGUCCUUUGCCCACUUUUUAAGUUUAAUUUAAUACUAAUCCUACUAUUAUAUAUAUAUAUAUAAG